GAAAUGCGAUAAGUAGUGUGAAUUGCAGAAUUCAGUGAAUCAUCGAAUCUUUGAACGCACAUUGCGCCCUUUGGUAUUCCAAAGGGCAUGCCUGUUCGAGCGUCAUUUGUACCCUCAAGCUUUGCUUGGUGUUGGGCGUCUUGUCUCUAGCUUUGCUGGAGACUCGCCUUAAAAGUAUUAGCUGGAUCAGGUAGGAAUACCCGCUGAACUUAA
rnacentral:misc_RNA from 1 species